UACAGAGGUCCCAAGCGUUGUUCGGAUUUACUGGGCGUAAAGGGUGCGCAGGCGGUCGGCUAAGUCGGGUGUGAAAUACCAGAGCUCAACUCUGGAACUGCGCUCGAAACUAGUCGACUUGAGGGUUGGAGGGGAGAUUGGAAUUCACGGUGUAGCAGUGAAAUGCGUAGAUAUCGUGAGGAACACCAGUGGCGAAGGCGAAUCUCUGGACAAUACCUGACGCUCAUGCACGAAAGCCAGGGGAGCAAACGGG
rnacentral:rRNA from 2 species